rnacentral:rRNA from 1 species
UAGGGAAUUUUGCGCAAUGGGCGAAAGCCUGACGCAGCGACACCGCGUGAAGGAAGAAGGCCUUCGGGUUGUAAACUUCUUUUCUCUCUGAUGAUUAUGACGGUAAGAGAGGAAUAAGCUCCGGCUAACUACGUGCCAGCAGCCGCGGUAAUACGUAGGGAGCAAGCGUUACUCGGAAUCACUGGGCGUAAAGCGCGUGUAGGUUUUUUGGAAAGUCUUCAUUGAAAGACCGAGGCUCAACCUCGGGAUCGAUGGGGAAACUUCCUAAAUAGAGGACUCAAGAGGUGGGCGGAAUUCCAGGUGUAGCGGUGAAAUGCGUAGAUAUCUGGAGGAACGCCAAUAGCGAAGGCAGCCCACUGGGGAGUUCCUGACACUGAGACGCGAAAGCGUGGGGAGCGAACGGG